rnacentral:rRNA from 1 species
GACGAACGCUGGCGGCGUGCUUAACACAUGCAAGUCGAACGGAAAGGCCCUGCUUUUGUGGGGUGCUCGAGUGGCGAACGGGUGAGUAACACGUGAGUAACCUGCCCUUGACUUUGGGAUAACUUCAGGAAACUGGGGCUAAUACCGGAUAGGAGCUCCUGCUGCAUGGUGGGGGUUGGAAAGUUUCGGCGGUUGGGGAUGGACUCGCGGCUUAUCAGCUUGUUGGUGGGGUAGUGGCUUACCAAGGCUUUGACGGGUAGCCGGCCUGAGAGGGUGACCGGCCACAUUGGGACUGAGAUACGGACCAGACUCCUACGGGAGUCAGCAGUGGGGAAUAUUGCACAAUGGGCGGAAGCCUGAUGCAGCAACGCCGCGUGCGGGAUGACGGCCUUCGGGUUGUAAACCGCUUUCGCCUGUGACGAAGCGUGAGUGACGGUAAUGGGUAAAGAAGCACCGGCUAACUACGUG